AACAAGGCGUACCUGCGGACCUGCGGAAGGAUCAUUACCGAGUUAUACAACUCAUCAACCCUGUGAACAUACCUAAAACGUUGCCUCGGCGGGAACAGACGGCCCCGUAACACGGGCCGCCCCCGCCAGAGGACCCCCUAACUCUGUUUCUAUAAUGUUUUUUCUGAGUAAACAAGCAAAUAAAUCAAAACUUUUAGCAAUGGAUCU
rnacentral:misc_RNA from 1 species